GACGUAGGGCGCGAGCGUUGUCCGGAUUUAUUGGGCGUAAAGAGCUCGUAGGCGGCUUGUCGCGUCGACUGUGAAAACCCGUGGCUCAACCAUGUGGUCUGCAGUCGAUACGGGCAGGCUAGAAUUCGGUAGGGGAGACUGGAAUUCCUGGUGUAGUGGUGAAAUGCGCAGAUAUCAGGAGGAACACCGGUGGCGAAGGCGGGUCUCUGGGCCGAUAUUGACGCUGAGGAGCGAAAGCGUGGGGAGCGAACAGG
rnacentral:rRNA from 1 species